UGUGGUGAAGAAAACCUUUUGAUUGACUGCUGAUCCAGAAUGCAUUCACAACGUGUUAACCAUCCAAUUUAUACUCUUUUCCAUCAUGGCAUGCAAGUGAGGAAUGAAAAAUACUGUGUUCUUUCAUGUAAGGGAGUCCUUCCCUUACCUGGUUGCCAUGUGGCCUCAAACAUAAGUCCAGUGGUAUCUUCAGAAACGGUUCUACCAAUGCAGCCUCCUCAAGGAAAGGAAGGCCUCUCUGGAACAAAUCUCUUCAGAAGCCAGGAAAGAAAAGCCAGCUACUCACCCACCCAAGGUAAAGUCCUCCAACACCAAAGUCCAAAGGAGAAGAUCUAGGAGCAGUCCUCCAAGAAGCAGUCCAAAAGCCAAAGUCCAAAAUCACUUAGUAAGUUCAAGACUUUUUAUAGUCCUUUUUCCAUGUCAUUUCCUGUUCCUUCUUCCAUUUCAUGAGAAUUGAUUGCAGUCUUUCAUUUUGCCUAGCACUGCCCAGGGGCAGAGCAUGGCCUCUGGAGUUGUCACCCAUUUUAGUAAGUGACUUGCAAACACUUUUACUUAGUGUUAAGUAGGGGUGCUUAAGUACUUGAUUGAUUAACUUAAAAAUUGCUGAUUGAUAGACAAAGAAAGUUUGAUUCACUCUCUACAAACACAUGGCACUUUUGUUUUUCCUAUAUUUGUUGUUUUUCUUCUUUCUUGCUCUCAGGUAAAGGAAUAUUAGAGAAAAAAUGAUCUUGUGAGUUUAGAAAGAUGAGGAGCUGCUUGAGGUCCAGCUGCUGAGCCCAGUAAAGACUCGGGCCUGAGGAGAUAGGGAGCCAGUGAAAAUCCCCAGUCAGGAGAUGAAGUUCAAAUGAUUUGCUCAAGGUCACAAAGCCAGUAAGUAGAAGACUUGAGAUUUGAACAUAGAUAUCUAUGGCUUUAUGCAAGAAUAACAAAAAAAAAAAAUUUUAAAUCAGGGGUCUUUAAUCUGUCUGGGGAAGCCUAUUUACUCCUUCUUAGAAUAGUAUUUUUUCAUGUAUGAAUAAUCAAUAAAUAUUUAUUAAACACUUGUUAUGUGCCA
rnacentral:lncRNA from 1 species